GCAGCCCACAACCAGCAGCGUCUCCGGAGUGACCUCCGCAAGAGCAGCACGGCUCUGCCGUCAGCCACCCCGCGCUGCCGCAAGCUGUCGUAAAACGGGCUCCGGAGAUUCACUCCACCCCCUUCCCCAGGCCGAGAAGUACAGAUACUUCACCCAAGAGGGAAAGAUAUCUGGAUUCGCUCCAUGAGGCUCGAGAUGCCCUGCUCCAAGCUGUCGAUGGUGUGGUGCUGAGGAUCGUGGCCACUGAAGCUAUUGCGCAGGCUGCGGAGAGCAUCGCGAACAAGCUGCAGCUCCCGUUCUAGAUCCACCUGCAAGACACAGACCCAAUUAGAAAAGGACUUCUGACCAAAGGGGAAGGAAUGUCAGUGGCUAAAUGUUUUUACCUGCUGGUAAUUGGCAUCAGAGAGUUUCCGGAGUGCUUCUUCCAACUUGGCCUGGUGCUGCUGCAAGAGGCGAUCCUUCUGCCCUAGCUCUUUCUGCAACAGAGACAAAGCUUUCAGAUGUGUGGCAAAACCAAGGACACUCAGCAGUUCCCCCUUUGCAAUGCAGUUUCUGCCUCGGUAAAGUAGAGCCCUAGGAGGAACAGUCAUCUCCUCAAGCUAUACCAGGAAGACUUCACAUGCCGCAACAGUCUCACACAGUGCUGAGGAUUCUUGGAAGGGAAUCCCCAUUAAAGGCCACUCUGCGCCAUCCAUGCUGAUUAGAGAUAAAGGAAAGCAGUAGAAGCAGUAGAAGAUGGCCCAAGUGCUUGGGCCCCUGCAUCUGCAUGGGUGACCUGGAAGAAACUCCUGGCUCCUGGCUUCAGAUCGGCACAGCUUCGGCCGUUGUAGUCAUCUGGGGAGUGAACCAGUGGAUGGAAGACCUCUCUCUCUGCUUCUGCCUCUCUGUAUCUCUGCCUUUCAAAUAAAUAAAUCUUUUUUAAAAAAUGUGGGAGAUCAGCCGGCGCCGUGGCUCAAUAGGCUAAUCCUCCACCUUGCGGCGCCGGCACACCGGGUUCUAGUCCCGGUUGGGGCGCCGGAUUCUGUCCCGGUUGCCCCUCUUCCAGGCCAGCUCUCUGCUAUGGCCAGGGAGUGCAGUGGAGGAUGGCCCAGGUGCUUGGGCCCUGCACCCCAUGGGAGACCAGGAAAAGCACCUGGCUCCUGGCUCCUGCCAGGAUCAGCGCGGUGCGCCGGCUGCAGCGGCGGCCAUUGGAGGGUGAACCAACGGCAAAGGAAGACCUUUCUCUCUCUGUCUCUCUCUCUCACUGUCCACUCUGCC